rnacentral:rRNA from 1 species
UACGUAGGGUGCGAGCGUUGUCCGGAAUUAUUGGGCGUAAAGCGCACGUAGGCGGCCUUGUAAGUCGGAUGUGAAAUCCCUCGGCUUAACCGAGGACGUGCAUCCGAAACUGUGAGGCUCGAGUAUGGAAGAGGGUCGCAGAAUUCCCGGUGUAGAGGUGAAAUUCGUAGAUAUCGGGAGGAAUACCAGUGGCGAAGGCGGCGACCUGGGCCAAUACUGACGCUGAGGUGCGAAAGCCAGGGGAGCGAACGGG